GAUCACAAUUCACAAAUUGGCAGACACCAAACGACGAUUGAACGAAAACCAAAAGCUCAAGUAAAAAUGACGGAGAAAGAGAGACAGUGAAAAUAGACAAACACUAUACAAUCUAGUUACCCCUAUAAAGGCAAAGGAAAAUAUCGAAAUUUUAUAGGUUUUCAGAUUUUGACUCGGAACUCUAAAAAUUGGAAAUGCCGAUGCAUUUUCUAAGCUGCCAAACAGAGAGCUAAGAAUCUAGCAAAAGGAACACGAUUUCGAUAAUGACUAAGAUUAACUAAUUUACAGAAGAAAAAUAGAAUGAUUUGAUUUAAAAUAAAAUAAGAAGCCGUGAUUGAAUUAUUCGUAUUGAUUUAAUUGGCGUUAACAACCUGGAAUUUUUCUUGGGGAGGUAAAAAAGUCAACUCCUUUUCUUAUUGUCUGAUAAGUUUCGCCAGAAACUUGUGGGCCGUAGACGUGACUCUGUCCUUAC
rnacentral:misc_RNA from 1 species